UACAGAGGUCCCAAGCGUUGUCCGGAAUUACUGGGCGUAAAGAGCUCGUAGGUGGUUUGUCGCGUUGUUCGUGAAAACUCACAGCUCAACUGUGGGCGUGCGGGCGAUACGGGCAGACUGGAGUACUGCAGGGGAGACUGGAAUUCCUGGUGUAGCGGUGGAAUGCGCAGAUAUCAGGAGGAACACCGGUGGCGAAGGCGGGUCUCUGGGCAGUAACUGACGCUGAGGAGCGAAAGCGUGGGGAGCGAACAGG
rnacentral:rRNA from 1 species